rnacentral:rRNA from 1 species
UCACUUUAGGAUGAGCCCGCGGCGCAUNAGCUAGUUGGUGGGGUAAAGGCCUACCAAGGCAAUGAUGCGUAGCCGAGUUGAGAGACUGAUCGGCCACAUUGGGACUGAGACACGGCCCAAACUCCUACGGGAGGCAGCAGUAGGGAAUCUUCCACAAUGGACGCAAGUCUGAUGGAGCAACGCCGCGUGAGUGAAGAAGGUUUUCGGAUCGUAAAGCUCUGUUGUUGGUGAAGAAGGAUAGAGGCAGUAACUGGUCUUUAUUUGACGGUAAUCAACCAGAAAGUCACGGCUAACUACGUGCCAGCAGCCGCGGUAAUACGUAGGUGGCAAGCGUUGUCCGGAUUUAUUGGGCGUAAAGCGAGCGCAGGCGGAAUGAUAAGUCUGAUGUGAAAGCCCACGGCUCAACCGUGGAACUGCAUCGGAAACUGUCAUUCUUGAGUGCAGAAGAGGAGAGUGGAACUCCAUGUGUAGCGGUGGAAUGCGUAGAUAU